UUUGUCCGUCAAACUGACCAGAGUCCGUCAUAUACAUGCAUUGACAUUUCCUCGCCUUUUUAAAUAUUAUGGUAAAAAGGUGUUGUAAUGACACUUGUAAUUCGGAUACAAGGUAGCCAGACCGGCGUGGAAUUCGUUCCGUUUCCGAAACAAGCGAGAAAAAUGCAAUCGCUGGAUCAGACUCUGUGGAAGACAUCACCAACAGUUGAACUUCGAAAUUUUGAAAGAUCGUUCAAAGGCGAAACAUCUAUACGUCUGUAAAAAACACUUUGUCGACGGGAAACCCAGUCAAGUAAACCCUGACCCUCAAGCAGCUACUGUACUGUUUGGUGUAUUUGACAAGCUUACACCGGGACCGGCUCACAUCAGCAAGACCUCCUCCAAAAAUCAGAUUUAUAUCUGAACCACCCCAAAAAAACAAGAACAGAACGGACUGAAGCUAACACCAUAGGUACAUCCUUCCAAGAAUCCAACAACACAACAUGCUGAACAACUUCAAGGACUCUCUUCAA